GGGGGGACGCGGCGGGCGGCUCGUGCGUACCAAGCGCGACAUGGCGCGGAGGCUGAGCAGCCCCGGAGGCCCAGUGAGCCCAGGGAGGGGCUAGAUGCGGGCUGGGGCCGGGCAGAUUGGGGACUCCAUUUCCCAGAGGGCGUAGCGGCCACGACCGGAAGCGGUGCGCCUGAGGCCCAGUGCGCAGGCGCAGGCUUUGCCUUGGUCUAUAUAAGGAAGGUCGGCUGCCGUCCUCGUUCUUUCGUUCCUGGGACCCUUCUUUCGUUUGGUUGUGCGUCAUGUCUCAUCCAUGUGGGAGUAAUGUGCAGAUGGUUGGCUUGGUUAAGCGCUGCAGAACAGGGGUUGGAGGGAGAGGAGACCUCACCUUGGCGCCUCCAGGGAGAUGAGAAUACAUCUAUGAUCUUCGACUUCCUAAUUUCAUAAGGUUUGCUGGUGGCUGAUAAACAUUGGGUGGAGGAUGAAUUCUGGAGUAGGACAGGACUGGCCUGAGGCUGCCAUGGAUGCCAGUGUGUUCUGAUCUUCCUUGAUCUCAAUGUCCUGAAACAGGUACUUCUGGAGAACAGAUCAGCACAGUUUCCUGCUGACCCAGUCCCAUAAGGAUUUUAUACAUUGGUCCCAAGGGCUGUGUGUGACCUGAAAGGAGUUUACUUUUUAGGCUGGGAUGUAGCCCAGUAUGCACUGCUAUUGGAAAUACUGAAUGGUACAGACAUCCGUAGAA